CCUACGGGUGGCUGCAGUGAGGAAUAUUGGUCAAUGGGCGCAAGCCUGAACCAGCCAUCCCGCGUGAAGGAAGAAGGCCCUACGGGUUGUAAACUUCUUUUCUGUUUGAAGAAUAAGCUCGUCGAGACGAGUGAUGCCGGUAGGACAGGAAUAAGCAUCGGCUAACUCCGUGCCAGCAGCCGCGGUAAUACGGAGGAUGCAAGCGUUAUCCGGAUUUAUUGGGUUUAAAGGGUGCGCAGGUGGUUUAAUAAGUCAGUGGUGAAAGUCUGGCGCUUAACGUUAGGAUUGCCAUUGAUACUGUUAGACUUGAAUAUGGAUGAGGUAGGCGGAAUGUGUAGUGUAGCGGUGAAAUGCUUAGAUAUUACACAGAACACCGAUUGCGAAGGCAGCUUACUAAUCCAUUAUUGACGCUGAGGCACGAAAGCGUGGGGAUCAAACAGGAUUAGAUACCCUUGUAGUC
rnacentral:rRNA from 1 species